rnacentral:rRNA from 1 species
AUCACUAGUAGAUGGACCUGCGUUGUAUUAGCUAGUUGGUGGGGUAACGGCCCACCAAGGCGACGAUACAUAGCCGACCUGAGAGGGUGAUCGGCCACACUGGGACUGAGACACGGCCCAGACUCCUACGGGAGGCAGCAGUAGGGAAUCUUCGGCAAUGGGGGCAAGCCUGACGGAGCAACGCCGCGUGAGUGAUGACGGCCUUCGGGUUGUAAAGCUCUGUGAUCCGGGACGAAAAGGCAGAGUGCGAAGAACAAACUGCAUUGACGGUACCGGAAAAGCAAGCCACGGCUAACUACGUGCCAGCAGCCGCGGUAAUACGUAGGUGGCAAGCGUUGUCCGGAAUUAUUGGGCGUAAAGCGCGCGCAGGCGGCUUCCCAAGUCCCUCUUAAAAGUGCGGGGCUUAACCCCGUGAUGGGAAGGAAACUGGGAAGCUGGAGUAUCGGAGAGGAAAGUGGAAUUCCUAGUGUAGCGGUGAAAUGCGUAGAGAUUAGGAAGAACACCGGUGGCGAAGGCGACUUUCUGGACGAAA